rnacentral:rRNA from 1 species
UACGUAGGGUGCAAGCGUUGUCCGGAAUUAUUGGGCGUAAAGAGCUCGUAGGCGGUUUGUUGCGUCGGCUGUGAAAUCCCGAGGCUCAACCUCGGGUCUGCAGUCGAUACGAGCAAACUAGAGUGUUGCAGGGGAGACUGGAAUUCCUGGUGUAGCGGUGAAAUGCGCAGAUAUCAGGAGGAACACCGGUGGCGAAGGCGGCUCUCUGGGCAGAUACUGACGUGAGACGCGAAAGCGUGGGUAGCAAACAGG